rnacentral:rRNA from 1 species
UACGUAGGGAGCAAGCGUUGUCCGGAAUCAUUGGGCGUAAAGCGCGCGUAGGUGGCCUCAUAAGUCCGCUGUGAAAGUCCAAGGCUCAACCUUGGAAAGCCGGUGGAUACUGUGAGGCUAGAGUACGGAAGAGGCGAGUGGAAUUCCUGGUGUAGCGGUGGAAUGCGCAGAUAUCAGGAGGAACACCCGUGGCGAAAGCGGCUCUCUGGAACGGUACUGACGCUGAGACGCGAAAGCGUGGGGAGCGAACAGG